AUGAGUUCGUUGCAGUUAAUGAUUUGUUGGAUCUCGUUUCUAACGUUAUCAAUCUCACUCUCUGCUUCUUCGGAUGAUCAAUUCACCGUCGACGGAACAGUACUAGAACUCACCGAUUCCAAUUUCGACUCGGCGAUUUCAACUUUCGAUUGCAUCUUUGUUGAUUUCUAUGCUCCUUGGUGUGGUCACUGCAAGCGUCUUAACCCUCAGUUAGAUGCAGCUGCUCCUAUUCUUGCUAAACUGAAGAAGCCUAUCAUCAUUGCCAAGCUUAAUGCCGAUAAGUACUCCCGUCUCGCUCGGAAGCUUGAGAUCGAUGCAUUCCCGACUCUCAUGCUCUAUAACCAUGGAGUUCCAAUGGAGUACUAUGGACCAAGGAAAGCAGAUUUGCUCGUCCGUUACUUGAAGAAGUUUGUUGCUCCAGAUGUUGCAGUUCUUGAGUCAGACUCAGCCGUCAAGGAGUUUGUUGAAGAUGCUGGGACUUUCUUCCCUGUGUUUAUCGGGUUUGGUUUGAAUGAAUCGUUGAUAUCAGGAUUAGGUGCGAAGUAUAAGAAGAAGGCAUGGUUUGCUGUUGCCAAGGAUGCUUCAGAAGAUGUAAUGGUUUCCUAUGAUUUCGAUAAGGCUCCUGCUUUAGUUGCCAAACAUCCAUCGUACAAUGAGCAUAGCGUCUUCUAUGGUCCAUUUGAAGAUGGAUUCUUGGAGGAGUUUGUGAAACAAAGUUUCCUUCCUUUGAUUCUGCCAAUUAACCAGGAUACUCUGAAGCUGCUGAAGGACGAUGAGAGAAAGAUUGUCUUGACAAUUGUGGAAGAUGAAACUCACGAAAGCUUAGGGAAACUGACCAAAGCACUGAGAGCAGCUGCUCAUGCAAACCGUGACCUUGUUUUUGGCUACGUUGGUGUGGAGCAGUUUGAAGAGUUUGCAGACUCGUUUCAUGUUGACAAGAAGACACAGCUGCCUAAGAUUGUUGUAUGGGAUGGGGAUGAGGAGUAUGAUCAGGUGACUGGCAUAGAGACUAUUAGCCAAGAGGAAGAUCAUUUGACUCAAGUCUCUCGGUUUCUAGAGGGAUACAGAGAAGGAAGAACAGAGAAGAAGAAAUUUAAAGGACCAUCUUUGAUGGGAUUCAUUAACUCAAUGAUUGGGAUCAGGUCAGUGUACGUCAUUGUGUUCUUGGUUGCCGUCAUUAUGAUGCUACGGAGCCUCGGUCAAGUGGAUGAGCCUGCUGCAGCCCACGAAAGAGUUCAUCAGACCACUAGUGUCCCUGAAGGUGAAACCAGUGAGAUUACGGCUAGUGACAAAAAAGAGGACUAGUUUUGCUACAACUUGAAUGUGUUCUUGGUGCUAGAUACUGAUUUUGCGUAUACCAAUCAAGCAGUUACUACACAACUACGUAAAAAAUAAGGCCAAACAGGUUCACUCUGUAUUUACAACCUGGUUGCGACACGGUGUCACAUUGCAACUUUGAGGAAAUCUUGGUGGGAGUCUAUUGAGUCUUGCAGAGUGACACAGCUCUUGUUAACAUGGAAUAAGCUUCUAUGGUUUAGUUAAGCAGCCUGGAAGAGAAUUAGCAGAGGCAAAAAGAGAGAGACCUGAACAACUCACUCUGGUGAGGGAAAUGCUUAAGCAUACCUAACGACCAAACCUAGCUUGGUGGUGUAUUGACCGGGCUUGUUAUUAUAUUUGUAGAUCUUUUGGAAAAGGCGUUCCUGAAAUCUUGUGUGGGGCACAUAGGAACGAGAGAGAGACUCUGUUAAGUUUUGUGAUAUUGUAACCUCUGUAACUAA